CCGUAAGCCUCAUGUGUAAAAAUUUCUUUCUGGUAAGUUACCAUUAAAAUAUAUCUGGUGUGCAAAUUUUGAUAAUUAUUGAAAAUAAAAUGUGAAAUCUUAUUGGGCAUACAGCUCUUAGAAAAAUGAAUAGAGCUGGGUUUUUUUUUUUUUUUUUUUUUUUUUUCCAAAUUAAUGCCUAUACCCAUAGGUGAAUAAUGCUUCUUGCUAGAAUGCCCGGGCUCGGGAUCAAUGUGAUUCCAAUUGCUUGGUGGUGUAGAUGUGAACCCAGUGAGGAAGCCUGUUCUAAUUAAUGUCGUCUAAUUCGGUGACUCCUUUUGAGUUCUGUGUAAGAAUCAAAUGGUGAUCUGUCAUCUAAAAUUAUGUUUACCAGCCUGUCAGCUGACAACCCGAUUAAAAUGUUGAAAACAAAGAAUUGGAAAUUAUUUGACUUCAAAGUAUGUGUAUUGUUCAGGCAUUAGUCAUUCAUUAUGGGAAAUGACAGUUUUCUGGGAAAACUAUCUCCUAAUAGCAAGGCUUGACCAAGACUCAUGAUAUGAUUAUUAAUUAUAUCUAUUAUGCUUUCACUUGAAAGCCAUCUUGUUUUGGAAAUAAAUUAGACAAAAUAGAAAAAUAACUUUAAAAAUUUUAAAUUUUACAUUUUAGGAUUUUCCCAGUGAACAAAGAUAUUUUGUGUGCAAACACCAAGCUAGCUGGCUGGCUGGCUAUCUAUCUAUCUAUCUAUCUAUCUAUCUAUGUAUCUGUAUCUAUCUAUCUUUGCCAAAUUUCUAUUUUCCAGAUUGUCUCAAAGUUACAGAGAAACACAUAUAGCCUUGAGAAUGACUAAACAUAGAUAAUUUCAUUUCAUGAUCGAAACUAAUAAUAAAAUAUUAAAAUAACUUAGGUAAAAAUAGCUGUGGUGGAAUGAACACUGGCCUGCGAGUCAUUAAACCUGGGGUCUUAGUCCUGGCUCUGUCUUUUUGACUAGGCAUUUCCCAGCUCUGGACUAUAAAAUGAGGGGAGCAGAGAAGAUGGCUUCUAAGGUUGAUAAUGAAUGAUUUUAUAAAGCAUCCCCAGACCACUCCUGCUUCCAAUACCAAAGAGAACGGGGCCUAUGUUUCAAAUUUCCUACAGCCCCAGAACUGACUCAGCUUCCUCUUGACCUCAGUGUCAAAGGGUCUGAGGAACAGAAGAGCAGGAUAAUGGAUGGAUUAUGGGUGGGAACCGAGCAGCAAGGGCAGGUGACCCACACUGUAAUUUCCUUAUCUCUGUGUGCCCCUCUAAGUUGCAGUAGGAAAAGAUGAACAAGUAGGUGCUACACUUUUCUUUUCAAGAAGGUAUUUUGUCUUAUAAUUGUCUGAUGCUCAUCCGGUGAUUUUCAUCUUUUCUUCUCCCUUUCCAGUGCUCCAUGGUGGGAUAUAUCAUUCUUUAAUUCUGACAUGGCAGCAUGUGUACUAGUUUAUUUGCUUUGACAAUGACAUCUGGCUGCUAUCAAGGGUGGUGGCCCACCCCUAGUUGGUGCUGAUGUUUGUGUAGAAUAACAUGGCCAGUGUUGAUUCUUAGGAUAUGAAACCAGCCCUGGAUUAGGAGUUAAAAGGCCCAGGCUCUGGGUUUGCUCUGC
rnacentral:lncRNA from 10 species